rnacentral:rRNA from 1 species
UACGUAGGGGGCAAGCGUUGUCCGGAAUCAUUGGGCGUAAAGAGCGUGUAGGCGGUUCGGUAAGUCCGCUGUGAAAGUCCAGGGCUCAACCCUGGAAAGCCGGUGGAAACUGUCGAGCUAGAGUCCGGAAGAGGCGAGUGGAAUUCCUGGUGUAGCGGUGAAAUGCGCAGAUAUCAGGAGGAACACCAAUGGCGAAGGCAGCUCGCUGGGACGGUACUGACGCUGAGACGCGAAAGCGUGGGGAGCAAACAGG